rnacentral:rRNA from 1 species
UACGAAGGGGGCGAGCGUUGUUCGGAUUUACUGGGCGUAAAGGGCGCGCAGGCGGCUUAUUUUGUCAGGCGUGAAAGCCCCGGGCUUAACCUGGGAACUGCGUUUGAUACGGAUGGGCUAGAGUUCGGGAGAGGAGAGUGGAAUUCCCAGUGUAGAGGUGAAAUUCGUAGAUAUUGGGAAGAACACCAGUGGCGAAGGCAGCCAUCUGGACCGACACUGACGCUGAGGCGCGAAAGCGUGGGGAGCAAACAGG